AGCCAGACUCCUACGGGAGGCAGCAGUGGGGAAUAUUGCACAAUGGGGGGAACCCUGAUGCAGCGACGCCGUGUGGGUGAAGGAGCACCUCGGUGCGUAAAGCCCUAUCGGCAGGGAAGAAACAGACGGUACCUGACUAAGAAGCCCCGGCUAACUACGUGCCAGCAGCCGCGGUAAUACGUAGGGGGCAAGCGUUAUCCGGAAUUACUGGGUGUAAAGGGAGCGUAGACGGCGAAGUAAGCCUGAAGUGGAAGCCCGCGGCCCAACCGCGGAACUGCUUUGGGAACUGUUUAGCUGGAGUAUGGGAGGGGUAAGCGGAAUUCCUGGUGUAGCGGUGAGAUGCGUAGAUAUCAGGAGGAACACCGGUGGCGAAGGCGGCCUGCUGGACUGCAACUGACGUUGAGGCCCGAAAGCGUGGGGAGCAAACAGGAUUAGAUACCCCUGUAGC
rnacentral:rRNA from 1 species